rnacentral:rRNA from 1 species
AUAUCAAUAAGCGGAGGAGAAGAAACCAACAGGGAUUCCCCUAGUAACGGCGAGUGAAGCGGGAACAGCUCAAAUUUGAAAGCUGGCCUUCUGGUCCGCAUUGUAAUUUGUAGAGGAUGCUUUUGGCGCGGUGCCUUCUGAGUUCCUUGGAACAGGACGCCUUAGAGGGUGAGAGCCCCGUACAGUUGGACACCUAGCCUUUGUAAAGCUCCUUCGACGAGUCGAGUAGUUUGGGAAUGCUGCUCUAAAUGGGAGGUAAAUUUCUUCUAAAGCUAAAUACCGGCCAGAGACCGAUAGCGCACAAGUAGAGUGAUCGAAAGAUGAAAAGCACUUUGAAAAGAGGGUUAAAUAGCACGUGAAAUUGUUGAAAGGGAAGCGCUUAUGACCAGACUUUUUCCUGGCGGAUCAUCCGGCGUUCUCGCCGGUGCACUUCGCCAGGUUUAGGCCAACAUCGAUUUCCGCCGGGGGAUAAAGGCUUCGGGAAUGUGACUCCCUCCGGGGAGUGUUAUAGCCCGUUGCGUAAUACCCUGGUGGGGAUCGAGGUUCGCGCUUCGGCAAGGAUGUUGGCAUAAUGGUCAUCAGUGACCCGUCUUGAAACACGGACCAAGGAGUCGAACAUUUGUGCGAGUGUUUGGGUGUCAAACCCUCACGCGUAAUGAAAGUGAACGGAGGUGAGAGCCUUAGGGUGCAUCAUCGACCGAUCCUGAUGUCUUCGGAUGGAUUUGAGUAAGAGCAUAAAUGUUCGGACCCGAAAGAUGGUGAACUAUGCGUGGAUAGGGUGAAGCCAGAGGAAACUCUGGUGGAGGCUCGCAGCGGUUCUGACGUGCAAAUCGAUCGUCAAAUCUGCGCAUGGGGGCGAAAGACUAAUCGA